rnacentral:rRNA from 1 species
AUACGUAGGUGGCAAGCGUUAUCCGGAUUUACUGGGUGUAAAGGGCGCGUAGGCGGGGGUGCAAGUCAGAUGUGAAAUCUAUGGGCUUAACUCAUAAACUGCAUUUGAAACUGUAUCUCUUGAGUGCUGGAGAGGUAGACGGAAUUCCUUGUGUAGCGGUGAAAUGCGUAGAUAUAAGGAAGAACACCAGUGGCGAAGGCGGUCUACUGGACAGUAACUGACGCUGAGGCGCGAAAGCGUGGGGAGCAAACAGGAUUAGAUACCCUGGUAGUCCACGCUGUAAACGAUGAAUACUAGGUGUAGGGGGUAUCAACUCCCUCUGUGCCGCAGCAAACGCAAUAAGUAUUCCGCCUGGGGAGUACGGCCGCAAGGUUGAAACUCAAAUGAAUUGACGGGG